rnacentral:tRNA from 1 species
CGGGGCGUAGCGCAGUCUGGUAGCGCACUUGACUGGGGGUCAAGUGGUCGGAGGUUCAAAUCCUCUCGCCCCGACCA